rnacentral:rRNA from 1 species
GGGUGCGAUCAUACCAGCGUUAAUGCACCAGAUCCCAUCAGAACUCCGCAGUUAAGCGCGCUUGGGCUAGAGUAGUACUAGGAUGGAUCGAGUCCUUCUUAGCCCUCUCC